UUUCUUUGGUUCCUUUUACCUGGUGUUCUGCAGUGGUUCAGGUAUGCAGAAAAGAGUGAAUGGGGUCAGUGUGUGGUGAGCAGAAGAGCUUAUCAAGUCAGUUCUGGCCUUAACCCCUAAACUAAAUAGGAAGAGGGGUACUUGAGUCGAAUAUUUAGUUGGCCUUAAACCCAGAAAGCUUGCUUCGGGAUCAGAUCAUUCAACUAAAGUUGUCAGGCUGGCCAGGCUUUGUAAACAAAAAGCUAUGUCCUUGUUCUUUCUCCUCAAGCUUGUAAAAAAUAAAGAAUCAGUUAUAAACCUAUCACCAACAUACAUUGUACACUUGGAACAACCAAUUCAAUCAUACUGAAAAUAAUUCCAAUAACCCCAAAGGAGAAGGUGUAGAUAGAGUGCAAAAGGAAGAGACUUUUAGUUAACUGGAAUGCCAGAAGCCGUUUAAUUAUGGUACAAUCUGAAGUAACCAAAGAAGACUAAACUGGAGACUCCUUUCCUGGUCGAUGUUGUGAAGACAGACCACUUUGGGAACUGCAGUGGCUCUCUGUAAACAAAGAUAAGAAAAACCAUCUCAGUUCUUCGUGGAUGAAAGAUGAUAAAAAUUUCUCUCCCUCUACACAACAUGUCACUGGAUGGCUGGAUAUACAAAAAAGCACAAAGAAAGAACAAGAUGAAUUGAAUUUCAGAAAGCACUACUUGUAUAUGAAACUUUUUUGAUAGAUUUCUUGGCAACAAAAGCAAUCAUAUUUCAGUAAUAAGCAUCUAGAUAGAGCUCCUAGGUGUAUUGGUAGUCUUUACGAGCAGGGUGUAAAAUUUGUUAUAGGGGUGUGUAUUGUUGACAAGAAUCGAGUGCUGCCUCUACUAAGGUUUCUCCCUAAAUCACAUUUGAUUUACUAAUAGGAGUUGAAGCCUCUUCGACCAAUCUGGGCGGAAUCUUGUAUCUAAACAACUAUCGAACAAAAGAAAACAAAAAGUCCUCAAUGGAUCUAGGCACAAACUUAUGGUCAAAAGCAGCUGAUUUAGUGACACGGGCUGAGAAAUCUCCACAGGAGGAAUGGUGGACGCAAUCCUCAACAACCAAUCUACGAACUUAAGAUUUACGGUGGCAUCAUACCUCGAUUGGAGAAAAGGAAAAGGACGUCCACGGUGUAGAUUCUUUCUCCAGCUGCCUUCAAUGGUGGUCAUUUCGUGGUGCUCGCACUGCUGGCGCCUAAAGCCGAGUUGGCGCCGAGGCACAAUAGGCGAAACCACAUCCCCCAUCUCCAUGUCUUAUGCAGUGAAACUGUAAUGUACCCCUACAAUCAGGCACACACUGGGAGCACCAAACAUUCAAUAAUGCUUUCUUCUUUGCAAGAACUCUAGACAUUAGAUAUGUCAUUUUAUCAUAUAAGAACAAACUAAGAGUGUGUAGAACAACAUUAUGCUUGCGUGUAAGGAUCUGCCGUCCUAAACAACCUGAUGCAUAUAUAGCAAAAAUAAUAGUGGUCAGUAGCAUGUCAUGAUAUUUACGAACAGAUAAGAAUGGAAAGUAAGUAAUCAUAUGAACACAUUGAAUAUGGAAUAAAAUAUGACAUUCCACUAAACUAACCUUCCAGCAGCGAUUGGGAUCCUCAGUUUCAGAAUGUAGGAACAAAAAUAACCCUAGAAACACCCUACAUAAAUUUGUUGAACCAAUAAGGCAGAACCAGUCCCGAACACUUGGGCGACAAUAACUGCAACAAAUUAAAAGCGGAAAUCAGCAACAGCAGGAGCCCGAUCAGAGUACAUAUAUUGAGUGUGAAGGGAUUGUAUUGGGGAAGUGAAAUCUGCAUCAAAAUUGAAGAUGAGGAACGAUAUAGUGGAGAAGCAUAGCUGUAGAUGCUACUGUGGUACUGCUGGAGGAAGAAGGGAGAAGAACCUGGGUGACCAGACAGAGCAUAUGUAGGUACCUGACCUCCACCAUCCGUCGUGUGGCACACCCCUACUCCAUUAAUAAUGCAUUAAUGUUCUGUAGAAACGGCUGCUCCGUGCACUGCAUCCUCAUCAAUCUCUUUCUAUGUGUGCUUAGAAACUGAAGUGUAAUUGUGUGUUUGAAAUCUGAGUGGAGCAGUUUCCGAAAGAUGAGGCACCAUUACUCCUCUUCCUACCUCCCUCGUGGAUCGCCCGACGGCUGGAUCGACCGGCCCCCGAUUCCCUCGCGCGUGGCUGGAUCCAUUCGCUGGCCACCCGCCCGCCUCGCCUGUAUCGAGCGCCCGCCGCAUCCACUAUGUAUCAGCCUCCCCAAAUUCGUUCCUCUCUCAAAC
rnacentral:lncRNA from 1 species